rnacentral:tRNA from 1 species
GCUCUGGUAGUGUAGUGGUCUAGCAUCUGGGACUGUCACUCCCAGGACCCGGGUUCGAAUCCCGGCCAGGGCG